GUGGGGAAUAUUGGACAAUGGGCGCAAGCCUGAUCCAGCCAUGCCGCGUGAGUGAUGAAGGCCUUAGGGUUGUAAAGCUCUUUCAGUGGGGACGAUAAUGACGGUACCCACAGAAGAAGCCCCGGCUAACUUCGUGCCAGCAGCCGCGGUAAUACGAAGGGGGCUAGCGUUGUUCGGAAUUACUGGGCGUAAAGCGCACGUAGGCGGGUAUUUAAGUCAGGGGUGAAAUCCCGGAGCUCAACUCCGGAACUGCCUUUGAUACUGGGUACCUAGAGUAUGGAAGAGGUAAGUGGAAUUCCGAGUGUAGAGGUGAAAUUCGUAGAUAUUCGGAGGAACACCAGUGGCGAAGGCGGCUUACUGGUCCAUUACUGACGCUGAGGUGCGAAAGCGUGGGGAGCAAACAGGAUUAGAAACCCCAGUAGUCC
rnacentral:rRNA from 1 species